CUCAAUCCAUCUUUGUUUGUUUGGUCGGAAGAAUCCAUGGCUUCUCUCAUGAGGCAAACGCCUGGGACGCCUUAUUCACCUCCCAAGCUCGUUCUAUCUCUUCUUCAUCACCAUCCUCUCACCUCGAUAAUAUCUUUCCCGACUCAGAGAAAUAACCCAACCAAUCUUACUCUCAGUCUCUGUCGUUGCUCGUCACCCAUGACCGUGCCGAGCAGCCCAAAGAAGAAGAGAACAAAGUACAGGAAACAGUACCCAGGAGAGAGCGUUGGGAUAACCGAGGAAAUGAGAUUCGUCGCCAUGAGAUUACGCAACGCUAAUGGAAAGAAAGUGGACCCCGCAAACGACAAGGAACAAGAAGGAGAAGAUGGUGAUGAAUUGGAGGGAGAGACUUGGAGUCCGAGCAAGGAAGGCUUUCUUAACUUCUUGGUGGAUAGCAAGCUUGUCUUCGACACUAUCGAAAGAAUUGUAGACGAAUCUGAGGAUGUGUCCUAUGCUUACUUUAGGAGAACUGGGUUAGAGAGAUGUGAAAGUCUUGAGAAAGAUCUAGAAUGGUUUAGAACAACACAAGGUUUGGCAAUACCGGAACCAAGCCAGGUAGGAGUAUCGUACGCAAAGUACUUGGAAGAAGAGGCAAAAGAGAAUGCAGCUUUGUUUCUUUCUCAUUUUUACAGUAUCUACUUCUCACACAUCGCUGGUGGUCAAGUUAUAAUAAAACGGAGAAAAUUGAUUUGUUAAAGGUGUCGGAGAAGCUUCUAGAAGGGAAAGAGCUGGAGUUUGUUAGGUGGGAAGGGGAUGCGCAAGACUUGCUUAAAGGCGUCCGUGAGAAGCUCAACGUGCUCGGGGAGCAUUGGACUCGGGACGAGAAAAACAAAUGCUUGAAGGAAACUGCAAAGGCAUUUAAGUAUAUGGGGCAGAUAGUUCGCUUGAUCGUCUUGUAAGAAAAACAAAACCGUUCCCAGUACCAGAGAGGACUUCUGUUCACUAAUCAAUAUGGUCAAGGCGUAGGCAAAGAGUCUGUGGGCCUUACUCUGAGGAAUGCUUGAUGAGAUAUUGUUGUUGCUUAGUUUAAGUUCUUUUUUGCACUUGAAACCAAGCACCAACUGAACUAACAAUCUAAUCAUGAAAAAUUUACAUUCAUCGUCACUUUUUGUCUUUCUGAUUACAUGUGGAGUCACUUGUUGCCUGAAACAUACUUUUUUCAUAUUAUUUGUCCCUUAUGCCCUUC